rnacentral:lncRNA from 1 species
UCGCGAUCCAGACUUCGUUCAGAUUCGUAGGGUGAUUGUUCUUGAAAAAAAAAUCAAUAUCAAAGAGGACUGUUCCAGACUAAUCCUGAGUAGAUAUCCAUAGAGGUCGGAUACUUAUGUAGCUAGGGAAGAAUCUACUCUCUUUCAGAUCCAGAUUCAAAGUAAAAAAUUAUAAAAUAGGUAUGUGAUUCGAUCGCAUAUUUAAUUUCAGCAUAAAAUUCAGCAUGUGUUCAAUUUCAGUAUAUGAAGUAGAUCCUUAUGUUCUAUAUUUUAUACAUAC